UCUCUCAGGAAAUGUAACGGUCAAAGUAAGAAGUAUAAUAUGGACCAUCGCACAAGCUCUUCCGUAACGCGUUACAUUACAUUAAAUACUGACCGUAAUCUUAGAUUUGUACGUAAUCUUAAGCCCAUUGUACAAUGACAGUAGGCAAUAAGAGUAAAGCAGUAGGAAGUGCGAAAUGGAAUUCGCCCAUUUUGUUACACCCGGUCUUAAAAUCACUCAAAAAAACAGUGUUAAUAUCUAUUCUAUAGCCUUGUUACUGCCAUUGUAGAAUGAGCUUUAAACUUUAGUCAACGCAGCAACAAAGAAUCAUAACGUAACAAAAGCAUCACUACUUUACGAUUUUCUUUGUACAUUGACUAAAGUUUAAGUUUACGCACAAAUCUAGGUUAAUCAGUAUUUAACGUAACGUGUUAUGGAAGAGUUUGUGCGAUGGCCCUAAAUAUAUAGUAUAAUUACAGAAAUACUCAAGUUACUCAAGAAAGAAAAUUAUUAGAUCAGUAAUAUCAACGUAUCAAAUCAAUGCCAUCAACUCUGCUAUUGCCGAUCGGUUGGACUGAUCGGUGAUAUGGACAGGAUAUGCAGAUCCCUCUAUUACGUGCCGCAUUGGCGAAGGACCAGAUGAAAGCGUGUUGUUUACAAAGGUUGUUAUGAGUCACAAUGGUUUCAAAUGGUUUCCUUCAGUAUUUCCCUUAUUUACCGAAAAAGUUGAUGGCGGGUGGUAGAUACGUUAUUGAAGGAUAAAUUAAAAGCGCAGGUAGCCGGGAGUUCCAGAGAAGGUAAAGCAAGGGACGGGAGGAGAAACAGGACGAUGAGUGGAAAUGAAUUUCAAGGAAGGAGGAAGACGGAUGGAAGCGAACGGAGAGGAGGAAAAGGACUCCCGUCUCCGGCUGCGCGCGUAUCCUUUAACGCGUUCUUUCCUCCUUCCUCCCUCCCCUUACUUCUCUCCGCAGGGACGAUUUAAUUACAAUAAUCACAAUGUUACGGUUCCUGGUAUUCUGGCCGGGGCGCGCAGCGACUUGUGUCCCACGGAAGAGAGGCUAAUCGUUUCCCUAAAUCGAGGACAGUGUGUUUCGCAUAGCGCCCCGGUGCUAUUUUUUACGGUCGUAUCGUGUGUGGGUGAUCUUUUUUCUUCUUUUUUUUUUUAUUUUACUCCCCCGUAAAAAAUACAGAGUAUCGCUUAGCGAGAGUCCGCUCGCAAUCAGAUAGCGA